rnacentral:rRNA from 2 species
UACGGAGGAUGCAAGCGUUAUCCGGAAUUAUUGGGCGUAAAGCGUCCGUAGGUGGUUGUUCAAGUCUGCUGUCAAAGCGUGGAGCUCAACUCCAUAACGGCAGUGGAAACUGGGCGACUAGAGUGCGAUAGGGGUAACGGGAAUUCCCAGUGUAGCGGUGAAAUGCGUAGAGAUUGGGAAGAACACCAGCGGCGAAAGCGCGUUACUGGGUCUGCACUGACACUGAGGGACGAAAGCUAGGGGAGCGAAAGGG